UCCAUGGCUGAAGAAUCGUCAAUAGUCGGAGCUUGCAACAAGGAAAGCAAUUUUAGUUCUUUCAAAAGUAUGCUCUGGGCAUGAAAGUCUCCCACCUGAUCGUAUGCGGAAAACGCAGUGAGAUUUAAAAAUUUUUACAAUGUUUAAAUCAACUCACUUGGAUGUAUCUGUUUACCACCUCAUUUUGUCUCUGCCUCUUGUAGGGAUUUAUGAAGUGGGAAUAAUUCAUCUAAUAUUGUCCUGGCAAGUAUUCAUACUUGACAGUGUAUAUUUCGGUACUGGGACCUUGUUAGGUCCUAAACGAUAGUUAUGACGAUUGCCUACUGUUCUCUUCUCAUUGUAGAUGGGGAAAAUAGGUAACCCAAUGGAGCUUACUCUUAGCUCAUGG
rnacentral:RNase_MRP_RNA from 1 species